rnacentral:rRNA from 1 species
UACGUAGGGCGCAAGCGUUGUCCGGAAUUAUUGGGCGUAAAGAGCUCGUAGGUGGCUUGUUGCGUCUGCCGUGAAAGCCCGUGGCUUAACUACGGGUCUGCGGUGGAUACGGGCAGGCUAGAGGCUGGUAGGGGCAAGCGGAAUUCCUGGUGUAGCGGUGAAAUGCGCAGAUAUCAGGAGGAACACCGGUGGCGAAGGCGGCUUGCUGGGCCAGUUCUGACGCUGAGGAGCGAAAGCGUGGGGAGCAAACAGG